rnacentral:tRNA from 1 species
GGCUUUUAAAGGAAAAAAGUCGAUCCGUUGGUCUUAGGAACCAAAGACUCUUGGUGCAACUCCAAGUAAAAGCU